GACGAACGCUGGCGGCGUGCUUAACACAUGCAAGUCGAACGAAGUGGCGAACGGGUGAGCAACGCGUAAUCAACCUGCCCUUCAGAGGGGGACAACAGUUGGAAACGACUGCUAAUACCGCAUACUGAAGGAGGGGAUUGCGUCUGAUUAGCUAGUUGGCGGGGUAACGGCCUACCAAGGCGAUGAUCAGUAGCCGGUCUUAGAGAAGGACCGGCCAAAUUGGGACUGAGACACGGCCCAGACGCCUACGGGAGGCAUCAGGGGGGAUUCUUCCGCAAUGGACGAAAGUCUGACGGAGCAACGCCGCGUGAGUGAUGACGGCCUUCGGGUUGUAAAGCUCUGUUAAUCGGGACGCGGUACCUGAAUAGAAAGCCACGGCUAACUACGUGCCAGCAGCCGCGGUAAUUC
rnacentral:rRNA from 1 species